CAUUACGAAGCUUAGAGCGUUAACCUUUUAAGUUAAAAUUAGAGAUAUUAAGUCUCCGUAGUGA
rnacentral:tRNA from 1 species